rnacentral:lncRNA from 1 species
AGCCCUCCUGCAUCCAUGCCUUUUGGCACUGGGAUUUUGUUGUUGUGUCCAUCAAGCGGUAGAAUCUCUAUUUCCCCACUCCUAGAAUCAUGGUCAGCGUUGGAACUUGCUAUGGCAAAAGAAUGAGGUAGAAGUGAUGUGGAGCUUGAAACCUAGGGCUCAGAAGCUUUGAAUCAUUUCAUCUUCUCUUAGAAACUUUCCUCUACCAUGUAAACAAGUUUGGACUUGCCAACUGGAGGGUGAGAUAUUUAUGACCCAGUCACCUUUGUCACCGCAGCCUACAGCGAGCCAACUGCAGGACAUAUGAGUGAGGUCCUUUCAUGCCAGCCACUGCCAGCUGAUCUAGUACAAAACCCAGCCAAGAUCAGCCAAGCCUGACUAGAUGACCACAACCACCCACUGAAGGACUUGUGAGCAAUAAUAAAUACUUAUGGUUUCAAGCCACUGAAUUUUGGGGUGGUUUGUUACACAGCAAUGGCAAACAUUACAAACUCUAAUGACAAUAUGGUUUUUAGUAAAUAAGUUUUUAAUGAAUGGAGAGCAAAACAGCUUCUUUCCCUACCUUUGCCUUCCUACCAAACCCAGGCUCAGCUCCUGGGAACUAGGAGUCAUGAUUUGAAAAAUAAGGACUCCUGGGAAUUGGUGGAGAAAAACUUUAAAAUGGAAGGCCUAGGUUUCAUUCUAAUCCUGUUACAGUUUCACUCAAAUAGAUCUUUAGCUAAGUCCCUUUUCCUUUGUGCCUUAGUUUCCCUGGAUGAAACAUGGGCCAGAUAUGAUGCUUUUCAAUGACCCUGUCAAUGCUGCAGGCUGGAAUCUUUGAAGCUGUUCCCUGCAGGCUGAGAUCUCCUGGAGGACCACUGAAGGAUGAAACUUUCUAAUGGUGCCUUGGGCAAGCUGGAUUAAAUUGGAAGCCACAGCUUCAUCCAGGGAGGGUUUUUGUCCCUCUCUUAAAGCAAGUGUUCAGAGUCAUGAGCAGAUGGAAGAUACAGGCGGAGGCGUCUUACCUGUCACCGUUGGUAUGUCUGGUUGAAACCUGCGACAAGAUCAUGACCUUCCCAAAGCCAUCUAGGAGUACAGAGAAAAAAUGCACAGUGCAUGAAAACUGUGAAAUGGAGUCCCACCACCAGCUAUGGUGGGGAAAAGCCUUUGAACGCCACCUGGCUCUGACAUUCUUCCUUUAG